CACGCAUCCUGCCGGUACCCAUCUACAGCAUACAGUAAAAAAAAAAAAAAAAAAAAAAAAA
rnacentral:ribozyme from 1 species